AGUUAGUACAGACGCAGAAAGCGACGUUCUCGUCGGGGAAGCAGUACGCGAUCGCGCCCAAGCCUGUGGCGCUCGUCAUGAACAAAAGCUUGAAGAAGGUGUCCUUAACUGGUGUGGGAGUCAAGGGAAACUCUGUUAUAAGAACCCCAGUAAACAAACAGUUUGUUAUGCUCCCAACAGACGGCUCUCAGAAAAUAAAACUGAUGUCUGCCAGAACAGGUACCACGCUGCAGUGCUUCCUUCUAGUUCGGAUCACGCACAGUUAAUACCGAAUAAGACUUUAGGUGCAACACAAAUUGCUAAGCCCAUUGUGGGAAAAGUCAUUGUGCAAGGU